AUUGAACGCUGGCGGCAUGCUUUACACAUGCAAGUCGAACGGCAGCGCGGGCUUCGGCCUGGCGGCGAGUGGCGAACGGGUGAGUAAUACAUCGGAACGUGCCCAGUAGUGGGGGAUAGCUCGGCGAAAGCCGGAUUAAUACCGCAUACGACCUGAGGGUGAAAGCGGGGGAUCUUCGGACCUCGCGCUAUUGGAGCGGCCGAUGGCAGAUUAGCGAGUUGGGGGGGUAAAGGCCUACCAAGGCGACGAUCUGUAGCUGGUCUGAGAGGACGACCAGCCACACUGGGACUGAGACACGGCCCAGACUCCUACGGGAGGCAGCAGUGGGGAAUUUUGGACAAUGGGCGAAAGCCUGAUCCAGCAAUGCCGCGUGUGUGAUGAAGGCCUUCGGGCUGUAAAGCACUUUUGGCGGGAACGAAAAGGACUGUGCCAAUACCACGGUUCGAUGACGGUACCCGCAGAAUAAGCACCGGCUAACUACGUG
rnacentral:rRNA from 1 species